ACUCAAAUGAAUUGACGGGGGCCCGCACAAGCGGUGGAUGAUGUGGAUUAAUUCGAUGCAACGCGAAAAACCUUACCUACCCUUGACAUGUCAGGAAUCCAUCAGAGACGGUGGAGUGCCCGAAAGGGAACCUGAACACAGGUGCUGCAUGGCUGUCGUCAGCUCGUGUCGUGAGAUGUUGGGUUAAGUCCCGCAACGAGCGCAACCCUUGUCCUUAGUUGCUACCAUUAAGUUGAGCACUUUAAGGAGACUGCCGGUGACAAACCGGAGGAAGGUGGGGAUGACGUCAAGUCCUCAUGGCCCUUAUGGGUAGGGCUUCACACGUCAUACAAUGGUCGGUACAGAGGGUUGCCAAGCCGCGAGGUGGAGCCAAUCUCAGAAAGCCGAUCGUAGUCCGGAUCGUAGUCUGCAACUCGACUACGUGAAGUCGGAAUCGCUAGUAAUCGCGGAUCAGCAUGUCGCGGUGAAUACGUUCCCGGGCCUUGUACACACCGCCCGU
rnacentral:rRNA from 1 species